GGGGAAUUUUCCGCAAUGGGCGAAAGCCUGACGGAGCAAUACCGCGUGAGGGAGGAAGGCUCUUGGGUUGUAAACCUCUUUUCUCAGGGAAUAAGAAAGUGAAGGUACCUGAGGAAUCAGCAUCGGCUAACUCCGUGCCAGCAGCCGCGGUAAUACGGAGGAUGCAAGCGUUAUCCGGAAUGAUUGGGCGUAAAGCGUCCGUAGGUUGCUGUGUGUGUCUAUUGUUAAAGAGUUUGGCUCAACCAAAUAAGGGCGGUAGAAACUACACAGCUAGAGUGCGUUCGGGGCAGAGGGAAUUCCUGGUGUAGCGGUGAAAUGCGUAGAGAUCAGGAAGAACACCGGUGGCGAAAGCGCUCUGCUAGGCCGCAACUGACACUGAGGGACGAAAGCUAGGGGAGCGAAUGGGAUUAGAUACCCCAGUAGUCCUAGCCGUAAACGAUGGAUACUAGGCGUUGAGAGUAUCGACCCUCUCAGUGCCGUAGCUAACGCGUUAAGUAUCCCGCCUGGGGAGUACGCACGCAAGUGUGAAACUCAAAGGAAUUGACGGGGGCCCGCACAAGCGGUGGAGUAUGUGGUUUAAUUCGAUGCAACGCGAAGAACCUUACCAGGGCUUGACAUGUCUGGAAUCUCUUGGAAACGGGAGAGUGCCUUCGGGAGCCAGAACACAGGUGGUGCAUGGCUGUCGUCAGCUCGUGUCGUGAGAUGUUGGGUUAAGUCCCGCAACGAGCGCAACCCUCGUACUUAGUUGCCAGCAUUUCGGAUGGGCACUCUAAGGAGACUGCCGGUGACAAACCGGAGGAAGGUGGGGAUGACGUCAAGUCAGCAUGCCCCUUACGUCCUGGGCUACACACGUACUACAAUGCUACGGACAAAGGGCAGCGAGACUGCGAAGUCAAGCAAAUCUCAGAAACCGUGGCUCAGUUCAGAUCGCAGGCUGCAACUCGCCUGCGUGAAGGAGGAAUCGCUAGUAAUUGCAGGUCAGCAUACUGCAGUGAAUUCGUUCCCGGGCCUUGUACACACCGCCCGUCACACCAUGGAAGCUGGUCACGCCCGAAGUCGUUACCCUAACUUUUCGGAGAGGGGGACGCCGAAGGUAGGACUGGUGACUGGGGUGAAGUCGUAACAAGGUAGCCGUACCGGAAGGUGUGGCUGGAUCACCUCCUUUUAAGGGAGACCUACCCACUCAAAUUACCGAAGACAAGUUGAUUGUAGAUAGGUAAUGAGUUGGUCAUCCCAGGUCGGUCGUAGGGUAGUAGUAGGGCUUUCAAACUAUAGAAUGGUUCGGUAAUCUUAAAGUAAAAUCACAAGUUGAUAGUUAAGUACUAGUUCAGCAACUUAGCGUCAUACAUCUAUUAUUUAGCUAAGACUGCUGGGUAAGAGUCCAGCCAGAACCUUGAAAACUGCAUAGAGAAGCGAAUGUAUGGUAGUUCAGUCAGAAGUGAGCAGUGAACAGUAAUCAARGAGAAAACURAGAACUGAAAACAGAAGACUGAGUAACAGACACCAAUGUAGUGAGAAGUGGUCAAGCUAAUAAGGGCUUGCGGAGGAUACCUAGGCACACAGAG
rnacentral:misc_RNA from 1 species